GCCUUAGCGCAUAGUGGUUUGAGCGCUGGACUAAGACUCUGGAGACCAGGGAUCGAAUCCCAGCUCGGCCA